rnacentral:rRNA from 1 species
CCUACGGGACGCACCAGUGGGGAAUAUUGGACAAUGGGCGAAAGCCUGAUCCAGCAAUGCCGCGUGUGUGAAGAAGGUCUUCGGAUUGUAAGGCACUUUCGACGGGGACGAUGAUGACGGUACCCGUAGAAGAAGCCCCGGCUAGCUUCGUGCCAGCAGCCGCGGUAAUACGAAGGCGGCUAGCGUAGCUCGGAAUGACUGGGCGUAAAGGGCGCGUAGGCGGUUUAUGCAGUCAGAUGUGAAAUCCCCGGGCUUAACCUGGGAACUGCAUUUGAGACGCAUAGACUAGAGGUCGAGAGAGGGGUGUGGAAUUCCCAGUGUAGAGGUGAAAUUCGUAGAUAUUGGGAAGAACACCGGUGGCGAAGGCGGCAACCUGGCUCGAUACUGACGCUGAGGCGCGAAAGCGUGGCGAGCAAACAGGAUUAGAUACCCGUGUAGUC